CUUGCCACGAAGCCAGCGCCACCGAGCCAAGCGCCGUCGCGUCACUGCGGCUGUGCCGUCAUGGAUGAGGAGAGAGGCGACAGACAGAGAGAGAGAGUCCGCGGUGGAGAAGAGAAAGCGCGCUCGCGAGGGAUGUCGAAGCUGUGCUCCGCCGCUGUGCUGCGCGAGGUCGCCGCCAUCGUCAUCCUCGGCGGGUGCCCUUGCUGCCGCUGGUGGAGACGAAUCCGCCGCUGGUCUGAGCUAAGAAGAAACGUAUGGAGAGGUGGUGAACGAAGCCAUCGCAGGAACCGCCGUCUAGAAAGGGUUCAGGUCACCAUUGAUGGGGCUAGCCGGAACUGUCCCGAGGUUUUUGUCGUUGAUUUUGAUUUUGUUCUGUUUCGGUUGAAGCCGUUGCUGCCUCUAGUCGCUCAGGUCACCCUUUUCUAUUCAUUUUUAUCGAAUGCAUUAUCCUUUAUUAAAAUUUGUUUGAAUGCUGUUGAAUAUGCUGUUGAACAUUACAUAAGUGUGGAAAUAUAGAUGUGAUUGUGUCAAACGCAGCUGCAAAUCCUUCUGUUGACCCUAUUUUGCAAACCAAAGACUCUGUUCUUGACAAGCUUUAGGAGAUUAAUGUUAAGGCCUCUAUACUUCUUCUCAAGCUCCUCACUUGCACAAAGGCUCAUAUGUGGUUAUUAUUUCCUCCAUCGCCGGCUUCAAUCCUCCUGCUUCUAUGUCUAUGUAUGGAGUGACCAAAACAGCCCUUUUUGGACUUACUAAAGUAGGCCUUGGCUGCUGAGAUGGCCCCAAACACUCGUGUAAACUGUAUUGCUCCCGAUUUUGUGCCAAGCACUGUAUAUAGAGAAUUUGAUGGAGGAAUAUGUCACCAGCUUUAAUGAAGUGACACAAUUUUGAUUGAGGAUAAUUUUGGUAGACUGCAUGAUAGGGGCAAAGAAACACCCAAAGUAAUGAAGCAACUUGGUUGCCAUCAACAGUUCAUGGACAAGUUCUAAUUUGAAACUUGUACAAAAUGAGACCUUGCUUUCUGAUUGGAAGCAACAACAAGAGCGUGAUGUCGAGAUUAUGAAAGCUCAGUCUAAUGUUGUCAGCAUCCGCACGGCAAAAUAGAUCCAUAUGUUGUGAUACAAUACAAAGGGCAAGAGUAAAGGAGCACAUUUGCUAAUAAUGGAGUGCUGAAAUGGUGACCACAUGCUACCUUGAGGGCUCAAGAGUAUUUUGAUUCAUAGAGACACUAAUCUAUGUUAGAACUUUUAACUUUUGGUUGAACUUAUGCAAGACAUAUAACUUGUAGAACUAAUCAAUGUACUUACUAAUGUUAUUUUGUUUGAAAACAAUUUUAGCUAAAA